CGGAGGAAGAGAAACUAAAAAGGAUUCCCUUAGUAGCGGCGAGCGAAGCGGGAACAGCUCAUCAUGAAAACCGUCACAAUGUGUCGGGUUGUAGGUGUUUGUGGGUCAUCCAACGCCGAGCCGGGUAGAAAUCCUUUCUUUGGAAUAGGGUGUCAUGGAGGGUGAUAACCCCGUCUAUGAUCCGGCGACCGGGGUGCUACGGAGGCCUUACACAGAGUCGGGUUGCUUGAGAGUGCAGCCCAAAGUGGGUGGUAAACUCCAUCUAAAGCUAAAUACAAGCGGGAGACCGAUAGCGUACAAGUACCGUAAGGGAAAGAUGCAAAGAACUUUGAAAAGAGAGUUAAACAGGGCUUGAAACCGUUAAGAGUGAAGCGUAGGAGGCCAGUGAUCAUGGGGCCAGACCUCCAAGCGCCCGCCACACGUGGGCGCCGCAUCGUUUCUGGUCGCCGGGGCAGCGCCGGUUAGGGGUUCGUUGAAGAGGCUGAGCGGCUCAGGAGGGAUGAAUUUCCCGACGCGUCCAGCUUUGUGACUUGCACCCUGGCCGAGGGAUCCGUAGUCAAAUACGUGAGGGCGCUGUCUAAAUGGCCUUCUGCACCCCGUCUAGAAACACGGACAACGGAGUCUAACAUACUCGCGAGUGUUUGGGUAGCAAAACCCGAGCGCACAAUGAAAGUAAAGGACGCUUGUCGUCUAUGGUGGGAACCCGUUAAAAGGUGCACCAUCGCCCGACUACUGAGCCCCUCGGGGUGAAGGGUUUGAGAGAGAGCGAGUAUGAUGGGACCCGAAAGAUGGUGAACUAUUCCUGAGUAGGGCCAAGCCAGAGGAAACUCUGGUGGAGGCUCGCCGCGAUGCUGACGUGCAAAUCGCUCGUCGAACUUGGGUAUAGGGGCGAAAGACUAAUCGAACCAUCUAGUAGCUGGUUCCCUCCGAAGUUUCCCUCAGGAUAGCUGGAGCAAACAAUGGGUCAGUUUCAUCCGGUAAAGAAAUGAUUAUAGGCCUCGGGGGAGUAACUCCUUCGACCAAUUCUCAAACUUUAAAUAGAUGAGGAGCGGAUAGGUUGCUUAGGUGAACCGCCGCGGACAAUGAUUGCUCUUAGUGGGCCAUUUUUGGUAAGCAGAACUGGCGAUGCGGGAUGAACCGGAAGCUGACGUUAAGGUGCCAAAGUACCCGCUCAUUAAGACACCAGAAAAUGCGUUGAUCCAUACAGACAGCAGGACGGUGGCCAUGGAAGUCGGAAUCCGCUAAGGAGUGUGUAACAACUCACCUGCCGAAUGGAUCAGCCGUGAAAAUGGAUGGCGCUUAAGCGGGGGACCGAUGCGUCGCCGUUGGGGUAAAUACGAUGCCCCAAUGAGUAGGAGGGCGUGGGGGUUUCGACCUUAUUUUCGUAAGGUCCAACGCACGGAAGCCUUGGGCGUAAGCUCGGGUGGAGCGGCCCCUAGUGUAGAUCGUUGUGGUAGUAGCAAGUAUUCAAGUGAGAACCUUGAAGACUGAAGUGGGGAAGGGUUCCACGCGAACAGUGCUUGGACGUGGGUUAGUCGGUCCUAAGAGAUGGGGAAAUUCCAAAAUCCAGUGUGCCCUCGUUGGCACUGGCCGUCGAAAGGGAAGCGGGUUAAUAUUCCCGUACCGGGAUGUGGAUAUCAACCGCGGCAACGCAACCAAACUUGGGGACACCUGUAGGAGCUCCGAGCAGGGAUCUCUUUCCUGUUUAACGCGCUUACCUCCCUGGAAUCGGAUUGUCCGGAGAUAGGGAGUUACAGCCGGAAAAGCAUCGCACGUCUGACGGUGUUCGGAACGCUUGAAACGGUCCUUGAAAACCCAGGGGAGGGAUCUCGAUGAGAGAUGUGAGUUUCACACCUGGCCGUACCCAUAACCGCAUCAGGUCCCCAAGGUGAACAGCCUCUAGUCAAUAGAACAAUGUAGAUAAGGGAAGUCGGCAAAAUAGAUCCGUAACUUUGGGAAAAGGAUUGGCUCUAAUUUUCGGGCUGUGCGGGUCGGCGUGGCAAAGACCCUAGCGAGCGGCCGAUGUCUGUCCCCCCCUCACGGGGGAGUCGGAUUGACGCUGCUCGUUGGAUGAAGGCCGCGUCGAGUGUAGGGGGCUUUGGCUUCUUGCACCCCCCCGCCGGCGAGGAACGAAAGAAUUAGAACUGGAACGGACAAGGGGAAUCCGACUGUUUAAUUAAAACACAGCAUUGCGACGGUGGGAAACCAUGUUGGCGCAAUGUGAGUUCUGCCCAGUGCUCUGAAUGUCAAAGUGAAGAAAUUCAACCAAGCGCGGGUAAACGGCGGGAGUAACUAUGACUCUUUUUUAUACCUGAAAGGGAGCCAAGAGCGGGGGUCUUACGCUCGCGCCGUCGUGUUGGAAACAACACACACACACAAAAAAAAAAGCGAGCAGACUAUCUAUACCUGCUAGUCGAUCUGACCAUUGAUACCAACUGUGGGCGGUCAGCGGCGACAUAACCUGGAACGGGGGAGACCUCAAAGCAUGAGAGCAAACAAA
rnacentral:rRNA from 1 species